rnacentral:rRNA from 1 species
UAUGACGGGUAUCCGGCCUGAGAGGGUGAUCGGACACACUGGAACUGAGACACGGUCCAGACUCCUACGGGAGGCAGCAGUAGGGAAUAUUGCUCAAUGGGCGAAAGCCUGAAGCAGCAACGCCGCGUGGAGGAUGAAGGUUUUAGGAUUGUAAACUCCUUUUGUUAGAGAAGAUUAUGACGGUAUCUAACGAAUAAGCACCGGCUAACUCCGUGCCAGCAGCCGCGGUAAUACGGAGGGUGCAAGCGUUACUCGGAAUCACUGGGCGUAAAGAGUGCGUAGGCGGGAAGGUAAGCCAGAUGUGAAAUCCUGUAGCUUAACUACAGAACUGCAUUUGAAACUACUUUUCUAGAGUGUGGGAGAGGUAGGUGGAAU